GGUUUGCCGGCAGCGAUGACAUCAGUCCUGACGCUAUGUGCCUCUUUUUUAAGCGUCUUUCUGAACUCUUAAGGCGUGCGUGUGUGGCGGCGGGCGCCAUUCGCCCCGGUUCCAGCCCGCUCUCCUCAGGAGCUGGGCGCGUGCCUGUGGCGCACCUCGGCCUGCGCUCGGCCCGGCGGCUCUGCCUCGGUGGAGAAACCGGCCGAGGAUGUUGUGAGGGAAAAAAGUGGGAAAAAAAUCCAUAGAUUCCUAACGAAUUCGCCCGUUAAAGUGCAACAAACGGCUGGGGUGUACGUAGAGCUUACUUGAGGAUUAAAUGAUGCAGGCUGGGUUUAAGAGCGUACUGAGAUGCCUGAGUGAAAGCAUGACCCGCUCACGAAUUCAUGCUUCCAUGCUUGCACGUGUCCCGGUAAACACACAAAUACAUGAAACUACUGACUUUCUCUCUCUCUCCUUCCUCUCCAUCUUGCUGCUUUUUAAAAAUAGAUUGAAAAAAGUGAAGUACCCCACGUUCUCCAGUACGGAGGAUGGGCGAGGGCGGACAUGGUCCUGUCAAGAGAUGGGGUUAACGCGGCGACGCGUUGCCUGCUGAAGAUACAGAGCGCUUUUGCAUUCAAAACCGAUGAGCUGACAAUUAUUUUGGUCGCAUUGAUUGUUUUUCAUCAGCCUUCCCUGUUCUGCGCUGGAGGAAGCCCCUCCUGCAGUACCACUGCUAGCCUUUACGCCGAGGGAGAGUCCUACCGCUGUACCCGUGCGAGUGCCAUGUAUGUUCAAGUCAAACCAAUGACCUCAUGAGCAGCAGAGCCAAAAAGCCUGGCUUCCUGCACCUGGGGAGUAGGAAAAUAUUUUUCUCAGUAUGUUUUGGGCUGAGAUGCUGCAGAUUCUGCUCUCCAGAACCACGGCCAGCCGCAGCCAGACCCUCCUGUGCAUCGCUUCAGGGAGAAACGGCCCCAAGUGCUUUUCAUGCCGCAGGCACGGCUUGCUGAGAGAGCUCUGCGAGGUCUGGGGCUUUGCUGCUAUCCGAACGUCGGGAAAAUUUCCUGCCAGAGAAACAUUCGUGCACGCUCAGCGAUGCUGAACUGCAAUCGAUACUGAAGAUAUGAACAGCGGAUGACUAUUGCCUGGGAAUUAAAUAGCCAAGGACUAUUAACUCGGCACUUCUGCUUCUAAUCAAGGAUGUAACUUUUAUAUUAUGGCUUCCAAAUCACUGAAACCCCACACGUCGGUCUCAGGACAGUCAUCUCGUUAACGCUGCUUGCUGGUGCAGUCAUUAGAUGCUAGCAGACAGCAAGGGGGUAAUUCAAACACGCGCAGAAGGCUUCCAGGAGCUGGCGUUGAAGACUGGGCACGCUGAUGCAGUUCUGCAUAGCAGAGACCUGUGUUAUCAUUUCGCACUGGAGUAAACCCAACAUGUCCACCACCCAAAGAAGUAGAUCGCUGGUGCUAUUUAUGGCUGGGACAUGCAACGCUCCUUGGCCGAAGCCAGCCUAUAGAUAACCUACCUAAGGAGCCGCUCCGGCACUGCUUACCAAAAGAGGCACGGAGUGCUUUCUGACACGCUACACUCAUGCUAUUUUCAAGCUUUGCCAGCAGCUGUUGGCUGCCUGCUUAUUAAGCAAGAAUAGGAAAUGCAGCAAGUUGAGGGCAGGGGAAGAAGAAUCUGUUUGGGUCCUCGCUCUGCUCCCAAGACAUAUUUUUCCUAAUAUUUAACUUAAGAACCUUUAUAAAUCUAUUUUGCUGGUUUUCUCCAGACACGUGUUACUUUGCUGUCAGAACAUACGAUAUACAGACAAGGAGGAGGUUGCUUGGUUGUUUUUUUUUUUUCAGAUGGAUCUUCUCCUACAGCGAUUUCUUGUACAGAAGACAUUAUGUUUGCUUCUGAAUAAAGUCGGGUAUGGCCAUGACCAAACUUCAGGUAUCACAUAAUCAUUGUGUGCCACAGAAAAACUUAGCAACUUCUUGUUCAGUUUGUUCUGGCAAUUGUUUUCUUUGGAUUUUCAAUUUGCUGCAUGAAGAUACCGACCAUUCAAACGGAGAUGCUGUACAGCCAUCGUAUGGCUUGAGCAGAGACAGCGCAGAGUGAAGGGUGACCUAUUCCUGACGCUUUUUAUAAGCAAAGCACAUCAGUGCUGGGGAGGCUGAAGUAGCAGAUGGUGGAAGAUAGCAAGCAGACUACCUAAAACUGUAACUUCUGCAAUUACUUUGCAUUGCAUUGCAUUACUUACAUAAAAAUAAAGUACAUCGCGGUGGCCAAGCGGUACCUAAGGCUUGCUCGUGGCGGUGAAUACAGCAGGUAGCAAGAACGCAGAACACUUGUUGCCGAGCUGUUCGCAUCAGCGCAUUCAGGCGCAUGGAUCCCCUAUGAGAAGAACUCCCAGAGGUAAGCGGUGCUGGGCAGGACAACAGGAAUGACCAGGAGAAGUCAGGCAGAGCUUACGAGAAGACACACGAUCUGCACCACACCGCUUUAUCCUCCCACGUAUUCUGCUCGUUUCAGCACAGGACUAGAUAUUUUGUUUCAUAGCAGAAAAAACAACAGUUUCAUUAUGAGGGCUGUAAACAUGUGAAUAACAACAGCGCUUCUACAUUAAGUACGUGCAUUGAAGAAUAAAAAAGCCCGGUACUGCUCCGUGCAUUAAAAUGUGCAACAGACAAGUGAAGCAAAUCACGCAGACACAGAACUUCACUUGUAAAUUAAGUCAGACUAAUUGAGCUCUGCCUGAACUUUCUUCCCCUGAAUCCUAAACAACCUGCCA